GUUCCUACGGGAGGCAGCAGUGAGGAAUAUUGGUCAAUGGGAGAGAUCCUGAACCAGCCAAGCCGCGUGAGGGAAGACGGCCCUAUGGGUUGUAAACCUCUUUUGUCGGAGAACAAAACCCGGGACGAGUCCCGGACUGCGUGUAUCCGAAGAAAAAGCAUCGGCUAACUCCGUGCCAGCAGCCGCGGUAAUACGGAGGAUGCGAGCGUUAUCCGGAUUUAUUGGGUUUAAAGGGUGCGUAGGCGGGACGGUAAGUCAGCGGGAAAAAUGCGGCGCUCAAAUCCGUCGAGCCGUUGAAAAUGCCG
rnacentral:rRNA from 1 species